rnacentral:lncRNA from 10 species
AUGCGUCUAACAAUUCAUUGUCUAGUUAGAGUUGCUAUUGUACUGGGCGGUUAGAGGCAUGAUAGGUGAUAAUGUAAGGCGGCUCCAUCACACAUGCUGGGGACUCCUGUGGAACAGACCAGCAGCUGCAUUUGGAGAUUCAUUUUCGAUUGUCGCGUUUCCUCUUACAGCUUUGCCUGGUCAUCGUGAUCUGAGUGGUCCGUUGGCCUCUGUGUCCCUUUUGUGGUGGACAUUUGCUCAGUGACUUUUGAGCAGCUGGAUCUCCUGCUGCGGCAGGUGAGGGAGGGGAUGGACGGCUCCGCGGACUGGCCCCCGCCCCAGGAGAAAGAGUGCGUGGCGUUGGCAACGCGGAAGCUUCUACGACUUCAGGUCUGGGCAGCGUCCUCCUGAACAGCCUGAAGCAGACGGUGGUGACCCUGGCCAGCAGCGCGGGCGUGCUGAGCACCAUGCAGUCGGCCGCCCAGGCCAUGCCGCAGAGCGGCUGGUCCGUGCUGCUGCCCAGCGCCGAGGAGCGGGACCGGGUACUCUCUGCUCCCCUGCGCUGCGCAGUUUCAGGCAAUGACGUGAAUAUAAGUCAAGGUUGUCAAUUCAUGAGUGAUCUUCUGGUGAGCAGCUUGGUGGCUGCUGGAGGGUUGGAGUCAGCCUUACACGCAGCCAUUACUGCAGAGAUCCAGGUAUGGCCUUGGAGGCUCACAUGACCUGGUGGUGCUCUGAGAUCGGAAAUACCACACUCACACGCGAAGAAUAAGUGAAAACAGUAAAACUAAACUUGUCUCAUAUCCAAGUAUUUUUUAAACUCUUUUAUGUGCUAACUUAAACUAUUACUGAGAUAUGAUUUAAUUGUGCAAUCCUGGGUGUUGUCUGUUUCAGUGAAGUUAACAGGUAACUUGUCCAUCAUGUAGACCAUUCCCGUCACCCGGGAAGAUCCCUGUGCCCCUUGGCACUCACAGCCGGGACGCUCCCCUGCCCUCAGAUGAGAUUCAUUUUCCUGCUCUGAGUGUUGCAGCAAUGUAGCUGCAGAGGCUGCACUCUUUCCUGCGUUGCCUUGGAGAAGGAUUUUCGGAUUCACUCACACUGUUGUGUGUCCUGUGACUUGGUUUUUAUUAUUGGGAAGUUUUCCAGUUUUCCAUUUUAUAGGUGCAGUGCUGGUUGUUAGUUCAUUCUCCUAUUGAAGGACAUUUAAUUGUUUUUUGUUUUUUGUUUUUUGUUUUUUUUUUGAGACAGGGUCUUGCUCUGUCACCCAGGCUGGAUACAGUGACCUGAUCGUGGCUCACUGCAGCCUGGUCCUCCUCGGUUCAAACGAUCCUCCCACCUCUGCCUCCUGUGUUGCAGGGACCACAGUCAGGUCACGAUGCCCGGCUAGUUUUUUGAUUUUUUUGUAGAGCACUAUGUCGCACAGGUUGGUCUCGAACUCCUGGGCUCAAGUGAUCCCCCAGCCUUGGCCUCCCAAAGUGUUG